rnacentral:rRNA from 1 species
UGCCAGCCGCCGCGGUAAUACGUAGGGAGCGAGCGUUAUCCGGAAUUAUUGGGCGUAAAGCGCGUGUAGGUGGCUAUGCAAGUCGAAUGUGAAAGCCCUGGGCUCAACCUAGGAAGUGCAUUCGAAACUACGUAGCUAGAGGACGGCAGAGGGAAGUGGAAUUCCUAGUGUAGAGGUGAAAUUCGUAGAUAUUAGGAGGAAUACCGGUGGCGAAGGCGGCUUCCUGGACCGGUCCUGACACUGAGACGCGAAAGCGUGGGUAGCAAACAGGAUUAGAUA